CGGCUGCCGCCCGUCCGCGCCGCCCGGGCUGCCCUCGGCGCCGCCGCGGCCAUGGCCCUGCGGGCGCUGUGGCUCCUCAGGCACGACCCUGGGGCCGGCGGCACCGUGCUUUUCUCCAGGCGUUACCCCACUGUCGAAAUACGUGCUGAGACCUUCAAUGGGCCAACACAUGUGCCUGUGCCUUCUGACAGUGCUUUCCUUCCAGCUCUGCUCUUGGAGCUGCGCCUGGUGGAUGAGCACACUUUUGUGGAGCAUCGAGACACCUGCACGCGAAUCAAUCACUCCUCCGUGUACUCGGUUCGCACCGAGGGAGGGGACCUCUGGCCCGUCCUUGCUUUCCAGAAGAAUGGUCUCAUUUAUGCCUGCCUUCCACUAGUUGAGGAGAGGUUGGAGCCACGGCCACCCCUCCUCACCGUUCCUGGGCUCUCCCAAGGACUGGCUCUUCUGUUAGGCAUCGUGGACUACAUCUCUCCGAGUCAGAGAAAUGAAGCUGAGAUGAGCACAAAAAUAGGCCAGCUUCGAAAUCUUCUCCUGCAGGCCUGUCCGCUCGGCACCCCCUUAAACACUAACAUCCGCAGCCUCAACACCUGCUUUGAUGACAUUCAGGAGAUGCCUGCAGAUGAGAAUCAGCCAGCUUGGAGAUCCAACACGUACAAAGGCAAACCUCAGGUUAACAUCUGCAUCACUGAAAAAGUCAAGUGUAUGCAGUAUGAUAAAAGAGAUGUGGUGGACACAUGGCAAGUGUACGGAGCUGUCAAUUGCAAGUGUGACAUAGAGGGAUCUGCACCAAACGUAACCCUCACUCUGAAUCUCCCAACCAAUGCUCCUCCGCUCCAAGAUAUUGUGGUCCAUCAUUGUGUGACUUCUGUUGACCCUGCCAUGCUGAUGUCCAGCAGUGCUGAGCCACUGGAUGAUUCUGUGUUUAAUGGACCUUACAAAUUUCCUUUCAUUCCUCCUUCAGAUUCAUUCAACUUGUGUUACUACACUUCCCAGGUCCCUGUUCCACCAAUUUUGGGAUGUUAUCAACUCACUGAAGAAGGAUCACAGUUAAAAAUAGCAGUUAAUUUAAAGCUUCAUGAAAGCAUAAAGAAUUCUUUUGAGUACUGUGAAGCUCGGAUACCUUUUUUCAACAGGGGCCCUAUUGCGCAAUUGGAGUACAAAGUUAGUUAUGGCCAAGUGGAUUUGUCACGAGAGAAGAGCCUGCUGAUUUGGGUCCUUGGACAGAAGUUCCCUAAAUCUUUGGAAGUUUCUCUGACUGGAACUGUGUCUUUUGGCACUGCAGGCAAAGAGCACCCAACUGAUUAUGUUUGCACUGGCAACACUGCUUAUGUAAAACUGUAUUUCAGAAUCCCAGACUUCACACUUACUGGAUGCUAUGCAGACCAGCAGUCUGUCCAGAUCUUUGCACCAGGCAAACUCAAAAUGACUGCAGCUUGAAAGAUGCUUUUGAGUCGGCGACGGAUACGAACUGCACCCACCGAAAGGAUGAAUGGUGUCGGGCGCGGGCUAGGUGCAGAAGUGGCUCAAUUCCAUUUCUUGUCAAAAUCUGAUUAUGAAACCUGGUGUCUGCCACGUAGCUUGACAUCUUUCCAUGUGCCUGGAAGGAGUGUGGAUUGAAAAGCCAUCCCCUUCCAGCCCUGGAAGAAGCCUGAUUUCUUUCUAAGAGAAAUGCCUUCUCCAUGAAAAGUCAGAGCAGAAAGCAGCUGCUCUGAAACAGCAGAUUGUUCACGUGGCUUAAAAUUGCUGCCGCAACCAAACAGCGAACCCCGAUCGAGGCUGCGGUCCGCAAAUCGCUUCCAAGGGUUGAGCCUGGAAAAUGAUGGCGGCUCCUUGGGUCCCGUUGUUUAAUUACCUCCCUCUGACUCACAUUCGAAUUCAGUGUGAUCUCCAAAAGAUGGGCUUAAAAAGAAGAGAAAGGGAGGGGGGGAGGAAGAAAGCCUGAAAAGCUGUUAGUGUGCGUUUGCACGCUCCACGCGCGCCGUGGGUGCACCGAUCCGCUGGGCUCGCUUUCGGCUGCCGGGAUAAACCUGUAGGAAAAGAUCCCAGAGAGCCCUGGCUAAGGCAGCAGGCAAGACCCUGAUGUUCCUAAGACAAAGGUCAAAUAAAAAAGGAUGUUAAU